rnacentral:rRNA from 1 species
AUGGACAACAGGGUGGACGCAUCCUUCACCACUAGGAACGGGAACAAAUUGGCGCAUGAGAAAGGUGUGCAUCACAACACACCUGGUAGAAGAGAUGAAGGCGACCCCUUCGUUAUUGAGGACAAUGGUAAUUCACUCAACCCAUCUCUUGCGACGAUAGACACGAAGGACUUUUCAACUAUUAAUUCAACCCCCAAGAAUAUUAGUGAAGUGUCAGACGGGUCUAGCACCGAUAAAUCUGAGGAGAUUAUUAUGGAUAGUUUGAACACCCGUAUUAAAAAUGCGAAAGAAAAUGGCACUCAGGAGAAUGAUGGGAAGGAAAAUGAUGGGAAGGAGAAUGAUGGGAAACGCAAAAGGAAACAGUCAAAAUACUGUCUUUCACCUUACCAGCAGAACGGUGGACGUAAACGUGCAAAGAAAAAGCUGCUAUGA